CUCUCCGUAGUUCAAUGGAUAGAACAGUCGCCUCCUAAGCGACAAAUACAGGUUCGAUUCCUGUCGGGGGGACCA
rnacentral:tRNA from 1 species